rnacentral:misc_RNA from 1 species
GUAGGAGCCGGCUUGCUGGCGAUAGCGGUAUGUCAGUGUCAUCAAUGUUGAAUGACACACCGCAAUCGUCAGCAAGCCGGCUCCUAC